UAGGGUGAAAUCGAAAUCUGGGAGGAGGAAAAUCGUCGCUCAGCCAUAGAAUCCGCCGAUCUGCUCUCCAGCCAAAGCCAAAGCCAAAGCCGCCACCAGACCAGUCUUCUUUGGCGCGCGGGAGGUUGGACUCAUGGCCUCUGUUUUCCUCCUCUCCGUCCUCGUUUUGGUCUCCUCCAGGCUCAGCUUUCUCAUGAUUCUAGAAUAAUUUGUUUUAUAGAGAUGAAUCGGUUAUUGGGUCUUGUAUUGAAGCAGAGGGUAAUAGGAUCUGGUCUGGCGGAUUGAUACAGCAAGUGAUGGAGAAGAGAGGUUGAAGCCGCUGCUCCAGAGCUCCCUCAAUUCUCCGCCGUCACCUAGAGUAAAGGCAGAGAAGCUUGAAAACCAUGGCUUACGCAGCGAUGAAACCCACCAAGCCUGGUCUCGAGGAGACGCCGGAGCAGAUCCAGAAGAUCAGGAUCACUCUCUCUUCCAAGAACGUCAAGAACCUCGAGAAAGUUUGUGCUGAUUAGGUUCGCGGUGCCAAGGACAAGAGGCUCAGGGUGACGGGACCAGUGAGGAUGCCUACCAAGGUUCUGCACAUUACCACCAGGAAAUCACCCUGUCGAGAAGGUAUGUUUCGGUCAACAGAGCUUUAGUUAGCCUAUGGAUUCAUAUCUGGUUUACUGCAUCCUCAAUAGAUGAUGCUUAUGUCUCAAUGAUGUAUAGCGAGUGUCUCUUCUUUUUUGGUUCUUCACUCAAAAAGUAGGAAGCUUUCUAGUACACUUCUUUGAAAUCGUUCCUGCUCGGCGCUCGAGCUUCGGCGAAUUCGUUUUUGGCCGGUUACAAGCCUCUGAUCUAGUUUCAACGCCUCUGAUUGGACUCUUCGUUGCGUCGACGCUUCAAUCGGUGCUUAGUGUUGUGCAGGAGAAGGGAGUCAAGGCCACUCUGUUAGGCCUGUUCAUGAGCUUCAUCAAGCUGGUUCCUGGAGUGAAGAAGUACAUAGACGGAGAGAAGCAAAAGGUGGUGGAUAAUUUCAGUCUGGUGGUAACUCUAAGAGAGAAAAUUGGAGAACUGAAUUGCCUGGCGCGGGGUUGGGAGCGGGAGUUCUGGAACAAAUGAAAGACGAGAAAAGAAAAGAUGUGGCUUGGCAAGGCAAAUGCUCGGAUAUAUUGAAGUGAAUUCGAAGGACAUUUUUCUCUAAUUAAUGAGGCAUGCUCAAUAUGAUUCUUGAUGCGGUAGAGCAAGUGGGUGGAAUUUAUGUUGUUACAGCUGAUCAUGGUAAUGCCGUGGAUAUGGUGAAGAAAUAAGACAGGGCAACCUCUUCUUGACAAGAGUGGCAACAUCCAAAUCCUUACCUCUCGCACUCUUCAACCAGUUUCAAUUUAUGGUUUUGCUUUUCUUUGUUAAGGUUCCCGUUGCUAUUGGAGGCCCCGGACUGGCACCUAGUGUUUGGUUCCGCAAGGAUCUUCCAAGUGGUGGUCUUGCCAAUGUUGCUGCAACUAUGAUCAAUCUGCAUGGAUUUGAGGCCCCUGCUGACUAUGAGCCGUCCCUCAUUGAAGUUGUUGAUAACUAGGAAAUACAAGGCAACAUAGGGAAAAAAAUUCUCACCAUUAUUUCCUAAAUUUUGAUGUUAGGUUACAGAUGCCCAUUCAAAGAGGCGUUGACUUCCCUCAUUUUUGUAAAUAAGUUUGAAAAACCAUGUUUGCUCACAGCUGCUGUGAGAGUACUAGGAGUUGGAGAUGACACAACAGUUGAGAUGAAAAUGGAUUUUUGCUAUUUUUCCAA